rnacentral:tRNA from 1 species
UCCCCUGUAGUUCAGACGGUAGAACGGUGGACUGUUAAUCCAUAUGUCGCUGGUUCGAUCCCAGCCCGGGGAGCCA